rnacentral:rRNA from 1 species
CAGCAGCCGCGGUAAUACGAAGGUCCCGAGCGUUGUUCGGAAUCACUGGGCGUAAAGGGAGCGUAGGCGGCGUGGUAAGUCAGAUGUGAAAUCCCGGGGCUCAACCCCGGAACUGCAUCCGAUACUGCCAUGCUAGAGGAUUGGAGAGGUAGCUGGAAUUCUUGGUGUAGCAGUGAAAUGCGUGGAGAUCAAGAGGAACACUCGUGGCGAAAGCGAGCUACUGGACAAUAACUGACGCUGAGGCUCGAAGGCCAGGGUAGCGAAAGGGAUUAGAUACCCGAGUAGUCCCUGUCUCUUAUAC